ensembl:snRNA U4 U4 spliceosomal RNA
AGCAUUGCGCAGCGGCGGCAUCAUAGCCAAUGAGGUUUAUCCAGGCGCGAUUAUUGCUAAUUGAAAACUUAUCCCAAUACCCUGCCGUGAGGGCUUGCAAUACAGUCGGCACUGGCAACUUUUGACACUCUACGGAGA